rnacentral:misc_RNA from 1 species
AAGUCGUAACAAGGUUUCCGUAGGUGAACCUGCGGAAGGAUCAUUAACAUUUUCCAAAACCUAAAAUGGCAUUCGUUCACUACUUACUGUGACGGAUGUUAUACCCCACUUUUAUGAACUUGUUUUACUCUUUCGAAGUUGGAAAAGGGGAAGGGGACGUAACGUCUCUAUCCUUUUUUUUCAAUUUCCUUUUUUUCUUUUUUUUAAAACCCAAAUGAAUCCCAUCUUGACUGAAAACUUUUUUCACGUUGGGUAAUUCCAAUGUUGAAAUAAAACGUUAAUGAGAAAAACAACUCUUAACAACGGAUAUCUUGGCUCUC